GUGCCCCUACAGUACAUAUGUUAAAACUGGAACAAUGCAAAGAGGAUCUGCGUGGCCCCUGCACGAGGGUGACAUCCAAGUUCAUGAAGGCUUCCAUGUUGCG
ensembl:snRNA U6 U6 spliceosomal RNA